rnacentral:rRNA from 1 species
AUUGAACGCUGGCGGCAGGCCUAACACAUGCAAGUCGAACGAGUGGCGGACGGGUGAGUAAUGUCUGGGAAACUGCCUGAUGGAGGGGGAUAACUACUGGAAACGGUAGCUAAUACCGCAUACCAUCAGAUGUGCCCCGAUGGGAUUAGCUAGUUGGUGGGGUAACGACUCACCAAGGCGACGAUACCUAGCUGGUCUGAGAGGAUGACCAGCCACACUGGAACUGAGACACGGUCCAUAUUCCUACGGGAGGCAGGAGUGGGGAAUAUUGCACAAUGGGAGCAGGCCUGAUGCAGCCAUGCCGCGUGUAUGAAGAAGGCCUUCGGGUUGUAAAGUACUGUCAGCGGGGAGGCGUUACCCGCAGAAGAAGCACCGGCUAACUCCGGGCCAGCCGCCGCGGUAAUUC